rnacentral:misc_RNA from 1 species
UCUUAUUUAUAACCUCUCUUCCAUAAUCAUAUAAAAAGGUUGGUGAUAACCUUAAUAGUUGGAAAUGAGAUAUUGAAGGUGGAGGAGGAGGUUAAUGUAGUGAUCUUGGAUGACGAGAAGUUGAAGAAGACAAGUACUAACAAUAAUGGUGGAGCUUUCGCUACUACUUCUAUUCGUGGUGGAAGCAAUCCACUUGAAAGCAAUUCAAAAAGAAAUAGUAGAUUGAGCUCUAUACCACGAAUAGAUGUAGGGAAUAAGGAGUGCUACUACUGUCAUGAGAAAGGCCACAUUCAAUACACUUGUAAGAAGAUGAAAGAAUAUCUUGCAGAGUCAAAAUAAUUAAGAAGAGUCACAUAAAAGAAAAAAGAGGGACUAUUGCAAUUGCAUGCGAUAAGGAAGAUAAUGAUAGUCAUGUUUUGAAUGUGAAUGAUGAUAUGGAAAAGGCAAAAAAUUUAUUACAAGAUAAGUUGUUAAUGAAUUCUACUUGUCCAUUCCAUGUAUACUCAAAGAAGAAGUUAUUCAAUGUGAAUGAAGAAAAAAAAGGAGAGAAAGUAAAGCUAGCCAAUGGGAACAA